UGAGGAAUAUUGGUCAAUGGGCGGAAGCCUGAACCAGCCAAGUAGCGUGAGGGAUGACUGCCCUAUGGGUUGUAAACCUCUUUUAUAAGGGAAUAAAAUACGGGACGUGUCCUGUUUUGCAUGUACCUUAUGAAUAAGGACCGGCUAAUUCCGUGCCAGCAGCCGCGGUAAUACGGAAGGUCCGGGCGUUAUCCGGAUUUAUUGGGUUUAAAGGGAGCGCAGGCGGUCUUAUAAGCGUGACGUGAAAUGCAGCGGCUCAACCGUAUGAUGUGCGUCGCGAACUGUGAGACUUGAGUGUAUUCGAUGUCAGCGGAAUUUGUGGUGUAGCGGUGAAAUGCUUAGAUAUGACGCAGAACUCCGAUUGCGAAGGCAGCUUUCCAGCGCGCU
rnacentral:rRNA from 1 species